rnacentral:rRNA from 1 species
AGAACUUGAAACCGUGUGCUUACAAGUAGUCAGAGCCCGUUAAUGGGUGAUGGCGUGCCUUUUGUAGAAUGAACCGGCGAGUUACGAUCUGAUGCAAGGUUAAGCAGAAAAUGUGGAGCCGUAGCGAAAGCGAGUCUGAAUAGGGCGAAUGAGUAUUUGGUCGUAGACCCGAAACCAGGUGAUCUACCCUUGGUCAGGUUGAAGUUCAGGUAACACUGAAUGGAGGACCGAACCGACUUACGUUGAAAAGUGAGCGGAUGAACUGAGGGUAGCGGAGAAAUUCCAAUCGAACUUGGAGAUAGCUGGUUCUCUCCGAAAUAGCUUUAGGGCUAGCCUCAAGUGAUGAUUAUUGGAGGUAGAGCACUGUUUGGACGAGGGGCCCCUCUCGGGUUACCGAAUUCAGACAAACUCCGAAUGCCAAAUAAUUUAACUUGGGAGUCAGAAUGUGGGUGAUAAGGUCCAUAUUCGAAAGGGAAACAGCCCAGACCACCAGCUAAGGUCCCAAAAUAUAUGUUAAGUGGAAAAGGAUGUGGCGUUGCCCAGACAACUAGGAUGUUGGCUUAGAAGCAGCCAUCAUUUAAAGAGUGCGUAAUAGCUCACUAGUCGAGUGACACUGCGCCGAAAAUGUACCGGGGCUAAACAUAUUACCGAAGCUGUGGAUUGUCCUUUGGACA